CCUACACAUGCAAGUCGAACGCCCCGCAAGGGGAGUGGCAGACGGGUUAGUAACACGUGGGAACCUUCCCUAUAGUACGGAAUAGCCCAGGGCAAACUUGGAGUAAUACCGUAUACGCCCGAAAGGGGAAAGAUUUAUCGCUAUAGGAUGGGCCCGCGUAGGAUUAGCUAGUUGGUGAGGUAAUGGCUCACCAAGGCGACGAUCCUUAGCUGGUUUGAGAGAACGACCAGCCACACUGGGACUGAGACACGGCCCAGACUCCUACGGGAGGCAGCAGUGGGGAAUAUUGGACAAUGGGCGCAAGCCUGAUCCAGCCAUGCCGCGUGAGUGAUGAAGGCCUUAGGGUUGUAAAGCUCUUUUGCCGGGGACGAUAAUGACGGUACCCGGAGAAUAAGUCCCGGCUAACUUCGUGCCAGCAGCCGCGGUAAUACGAAGGGGACUAGCGUUGUUCGGAAUCACUGGGCGUAAAGCGCACGUAGGCGGAUUUGUAAGUCAGGGGUGAAAUCCCGGGGCUCAACCUCGGAACUGCCUUUGAUACUGCAAGUCUUGAGUCCGAUAGAGGUGGGUGGAAUUCCUAGUGUAGAGGUGAAAUUCGUAAAUAUUAGGAAGAACACCAGUGGCGAAGGCGGCCCACUGGAAUCGGUACUGACCCUGAGGUGCGAAAGCGUGGGGAAGCAAACAGGAAUUAGAUACCCUGGUAAGCC
rnacentral:rRNA from 1 species